rnacentral:rRNA from 1 species
UACGUAGGUGGCAAGCGUUGUCCGGAUUUAUUGGGUUUAAAGGGUGCGUAGGCGGUGUCCUAAGUCAGUUGUGAAAUACGGUAGCUUAACUGUCGAGGUGCAAUUGAUACUGGGACACUUGAGUACUGAUGAGGUAUGCGGAAUGGACGGUGUAGCGGUGAAAUGCUUAGAUAUCGUCCAGAACACCGAUAGCGAAGGCAGCAUACUAAGGAGUAACUGACGCUGAGGCACGAAAGUGUGGGGAUCAAACAGG